GAGGGGUGCAAGCGUUAUUCGGAAUCAUUGGGCGUAAAGGGUGCGUAGACGGCACAUUAAGUCAGUUGUUAAAUUUUCCGGGCCUAACCGGGAAGUAUGCGAUUGAAACUGGUGAGCUAGAGGUUGGAAGAGAGAAGUGGAAUUCUCGGAGUAGCGGUAAAAUGCGUAGAUCUCGAGAGGAACACCGAUGGCGAAGGCAGCUUCUUGGUCCAUACCUGACGUUGAGGCACGAAAGCGUGGGGAGCAAACAGGAUUAGAUACCCUGGUAGUCCACGCCGUAAACGAUGAUCACUAGACGCUAGUUCUGUUUUACAGGAUUAGUGUCGUAGCUAACGCGGUAAGUGAUCCGCCUGGGGACUACGGUCGCAAGAUUA
rnacentral:rRNA from 1 species